rnacentral:lncRNA from 10 species
GUUUACUGCAACAGUCUACUCAAGACUUGCCCCAGGCCCUGGGAAACAUGUAGGUUUAAAAAUCCCUACCCUGCGUUUUCCUUUCACAGGGAGUGAACUUCUGGCCCAGGCAGUGGGCAGUGGGGCACGGUUGCCCCGGAGAUGAGACUCCUCUUCCCGCCCUGGGGGGUGGGGGCUGGCUGGUGGCUGAGGGAACUAUUUUUGUUUGUUUCUUUUUUUAAAAAACGGAGUCUGGCUGUGUCCUCCAGGUUGGAGUGCAGUGGCGCGAUCUCGGCACACUGCAACCUCCGCCUCUCGGGUUCAAGUGAUUCUCCUGCCUUAGCCUCCUGAGUAGCUGGGAUCACAGGCGCCUGUCACCACGCCCGGUUAAUUUUUAUUUUUAUUAGAGACGGGGUUUCACCAUGUUGGCCAAGCUGCUCUCAAAUUCCUGACCUCAGGUGAUCCGCCCACCUCGGCCUCCAAAAGUGCUAGGAUUACAGGCAAGAGCCACUGCGCCUGGCCGGGGAACUGUUUUUGAUGGGUGGGGUCCCCGGCUGUGGUUGGUAGUGUGGGGGCGUGGCCGAGGGUGUGGCCUG